AUGGUUGGGGAUGGGCUCGCGGCCUAUCAGCUUGUUGGUGAGGUAAUGGCUCACCAAGGCGUCGACGGGUAGCCGGCCUGAGAGGGUGACCGGCCACACUGGGACUGAGACACGGCCCAGACUCCUACGGGAGGCAGCAGUGGGGAAUAUUGCACAAUGGGCGGAAGCCUGAUGCAGCAACGCCGCGUGAGGGAUGACGGCCUUCGGGUUGUAAACCUCUUUUAGCAGGGAAGAAGCGAAAGUGACGGUACCUGUUUUAAAAAGCGCCGGCUAACUACGUGCCAGCAGCCGCGGUAAUAAGUAAGGCGCAAGCGUUAUCCGGAAUUAUUGGGCGUAAAGAGCUCGUAGGCGGUUUGUCGCGUCUGCUGUGAAAUCCCGAGGCUCAACCUCGCUGCCUGCAGUGGGUACGGGCAGACUAGAGUGCGGUAGGGGAGAUUGGAAUUCCUGGUGUAGCGGUGGAAUGCGCAGAUAUCAGGAGGAACACCGAUGGCGAAGGCAGAUCUCUGGGCCGUAACUGACGCUGAGGAGCGAAAGGGUGGGGAGCAAACAGGCUUAGAUACCCUGGUAGUCCACCCCGUAAACGUUGGGAACUAGUUGUGGGGUCCAUUCCACGGAUUCCGUGACGCAGCUAACGCAUUAAGUUCCCCCGCCUGGGGAGUACGGCCGCAGGGCUAAAACUCAAAGGAAUUGACGGGGACCCGCACAAGCGGCGGAGCAUGCGGAUUAAUUCGAUGCACG
rnacentral:rRNA from 1 species